rnacentral:rRNA from 1 species
CUAAUACCGCAUAACGUCGCAAGACCAAAGAGGGGGGACCGUUCGGGGCCUCUUGCCAUCGGAUGUGCCCAGAUGGGAUUAGCUAGUAGGUGGGGUAACGGGCUCACCUAGGCGACGAUCCCUAGCUGGUCUGAGAGGAUGACCAGCCACACUGGAACUGAGACACGGUCCAGACUCCUACGGGAGGCAGCAUG